CUAGAGUUCAUUUUCUCUAACAAACAUGGGCAGAGAGGAGGUCUUGGCUUUCAUUGCAUUUAAUUUAUAGUACUAAAUUUAAAGACGUCGUCCAAACAAUAUCAUAUCAUCAUCUUGAGAUGAUAUAAAUUCUGUGCAUCAGAUAACAUUGUGAUGAUUUAAGGACUAACUGAUCACAAAAAUCUAUUAUAUAAUUUUAACACAUGCAGAAAAACAAACACGCCAAAAAAGCAAAUGACUAAUUCGGGUACAUUUAUAAUUGCAUCCAGAUAAUUUUUAUCCUAAUAUCUUCAUAAAGUACUGGAGUAUAAUAUGUUUGUUACCUCCAACAGAACUAAAUGUUCUAUGGUUAUGAAAAUUUAUUUAUUUGAAACAUUGCUUUUAUUUUGAAAAGCUUCUUAAUUAAUUUGGUUAACAAAUAUGCUAAUUUGGGGGAAGCUAGGGAAGAUCAUUGUUGAAC
rnacentral:lncRNA from 1 species